rnacentral:rRNA from 1 species
GAUGAACGCUGGCGGCGUGCCUAAUACAUGCAAGUCGAGCGAAGCGGGGACGGGUGAGUAACACGUGGAUAACCUCCUAUAAGACUGGGAUAACUUCGGGAAACCGGAGCCAAACCGGAUCCUUAUUGAUGGUUCUGGGCUGCAUUAGCUAGUUGGUACGGUAACGGCUUACCAAGGCGACGAUGCAUAGCCGACCUGAGAGGGUGAUCAGCCACACUGGAACUGAGACACGGUCCAGACUCCUACGGGAGGCAGCAGUAGGGAAUCUUCCGCAAUGGGCGAAAGCCUGACGGAGCAACGCCGCGUGAGUGAAGAAGGUCUUCGGAUCGUAAAGCUCUGUUAUUUGGGAAGCGGUACCUAAACAGAAAGCCACGGCUAACUACGUGCCAGCAGCCGCGGUAAUAC